rnacentral:rRNA from 1 species
AUUGAACGCUGGCGGCAGGCUUAACACAUGCAAGUCGAGCGGAGAUGAGGUGCUUGCACCUUAUCUUAGCGGCGGACGGGUGAGUAAUGCUUAGGAAUCUGCCUAUUAGUGGGGGACAACAUUCCGAAAGGAAUGCUAAUACCGCAUACGCCCUACGGGGGAAAGCAGGGGAUCUUCGGACCUUGCGCUAAUAGAUGAGCCUAAGUCGGAUUAGCUAGUUGGUGGGGUAAGGCCUACCAAGGCGACGAUCUGUAGCGGGUCUGAGAGGAUGAUCCGCCACACUGGGACUGAGACACGGCCCAGACUCCUACGGGAGGCAGCAGUGGGGAAUAUUGGACAAUGGGCGCAAGCCUGAUCCAGCCAUGCCGCGUGUGUGAAGAAGGCCUUAUGGUUGUAAAGCACUUUAAGCGAGGAGGAGGCUACUUUAGAUAAUACCUAGAGAUAGUGGACGUUACUCGCAGAAUAAGCACCGGCUAACUCUGUGCCAGCCGCCGCCGUAAUAC